rnacentral:rRNA from 1 species
UUGGCGGACGGGUGAGUAACGCGUGGAAAACCUGCCGUAUACUGGGGGAUAACACUUAGAAAUAGGUGCUAAUACCGCAUAAGCGCACAGCUUCGCAUGAAGCGGUGUGAAAAACUCCGGUGGUAUGGGAUGGGCCCGCGUCUGAUUAGCUAGUUGGCGGGGGAGAGGCCCACCAAGGCGACGAUCAGUAGCCGACCUGAGAGGGUGGCCGGCCACAUUGGGACUGAGACACGGCCCAAACUCCUACGGAAGGCAGCAG